UACGGGAGGCAGCAGGGGGGAAGUAUUGCACAAUGGGCGCAAGCCUGAUGCAGCCAUGCCGCGUGUAUGAAGAAGGCCUUCGGGUUGUAAAGUACUUUCAGUCGUGAGGAAGGUGUUAAGGUUAAUAACCUUAGCAAUUGACGUUAGCGACAGAAGAAGCACCGGCUAACUCCGUGCCAGCAGCCGCGGUAAUACGGAGGGUGCGAGCGUUAAUCGGAAUUACUGGGCGUAAAGGGCACGCAGGCGGUUAAUUAAGUUGGAUGUGAAAUCCCCGGGCUUAACCUGGGAAUGGCAUUCAAGACUGGUUAGCUAGAGUCUUGUAGAGGGGGUAGAAUUCCAUGUGUAGCGGUGAAAUGCGUAGAGAUGUGGAGGAAUACCGGUGGCGAAGGCGGCCCCUGGACAAAGACUGACGCUCAUGUGCGAAAGCGUGGGGAGCAAACAGGG
rnacentral:rRNA from 1 species